UUGUUUAAGUCAGAUGUGAAAGCCCGGGGGUUCAACCUUUGGAAUUGCAUUUGAAACUGGCAAACUAGAGUACUGUAGAGGGGGGUAGAAUUUUCAGGUGUAGCGGUGAAAUGCGUAGAGAUCUGAAGGAAUACCGGUGGCGAAGGCGGCCCCCUGGACAGAUACUGACACUCAGAUGCGAAAGCGUGGGGAGCAAACAGGAUUAGAUACCCUGGUAGUCCACGCCGUAAACGAUGUCUACUUGGAGGUUGUGGCCUUGAGCCGUGGCUUUCGGAGCUAACGCGUUAAGUAGACCGCCUGGGGAGUACGGUCGCAAGAUUAAAACUCAAAUGAAUUGACGGGGGCCCGCACAAGCGGUGGAGCAUGUGGUUUAAUUCGAUGCAACGCGAAGAACCUUACCUACUCUUGACAUCUACAGAAGCCAGCGGAGACGCAGGUGUGCCUUCGGGAACUGUAAGACAGGUGCUGCAUGGCUGUCGUCAGCUCGUGUUGUGAAAUGUUGGGUUAAGUCCCGCAACGAGCGCAACCCUUAUCCUUGUUUGCCAGCACUUCGGGUGGGAACUCCAGGGAGACUGCCGGUGAUAAACCGGAGGAAGGUGGGGACGACGUCAAGUCAUCAUGGCCCUUACGAGUAGGGCUACACACGUGCUACAAUGGCGCAUACAGAGGGCGGCCAACUUGCGAAAGUGAGCGAAUCCCAAAAAGUGCGUCGUAGUCCGGAUUGGAGUCUGCAACUCGACUCCAUGAAGUCGGAAUCGUUAGUAAUCGUGGAUCAGAAUGCCACGGUGAAUACGUUCCCGGGCCUUGUACACACCGCCCGUCACACCAUGGGAGUGGGCUGCAAAAGAAGUGGGUAGUUUAACCUUCGGGAGGACGCUCACCACUUUGUGGUUCAUGACUGGGGUGAAGUCGUAACAAGGUAACCG
rnacentral:rRNA from 1 species